rnacentral:rRNA from 1 species
CCUACGGGUGGCUGCAGUGAGGACUAUUGGUCACUGGGCUCGAGCCUGAACCAGCCAAGUAGCGUGAAGGAUGACUGCCCUACGGGUUGUAAACUUCUUUUAUAAAUGAAUCCAGUGAGGCACGUGUGCCUUUUUGUAUGUACUUUAUUAAUAAGGAUCGGCUAACUCCGUUCCAGCAGCCGCGGUCAUACGGAGGAUCCGAUCGUUAUUCUGAUUUAUUGGGUUUAAAGGGAGCGUAGAUGGGUUGUUAAGUCAGUUGUGAAAGUUUGCGGCUCAACCGUAAAAUUGCAAUUGAUACUGGCAGUCUUGAGUACAGUUGAGGUAGGCGGAAUUCGUGGUGUAGCGGUGAAAUGCUUAGAUAUCACGAAGAACUCCGAUUGCGAAGGCAGCUUACUAAACUGCCACUGACAUUGAUGCUCGAAAGUGUGGGUAUCAAACAGGAUUAGAUACCCUAGUAGUC